rnacentral:rRNA from 1 species
UACGUAGGGGGCAAGCGUUGUCCGGAUUUAUUGGGCGUAAAGAGCGUGUAGGCGGCUAGAUAGGUCCGUUGUGAAAACUCGAGGCUCAACCUCGAGACGUCGAUGGAAACCAUCUGGCUAGAGUCCGGAAGAGGAGAGUGGAAUUCCUGGUGUAGCGGUGAAAUGCGCAGAUAUCAGGAAGAACACCAAUGGCGAAGGCAGCUCUCUGGGACGGUACUGACACUGAGACGCGAAAGCGUGGGGAGCGAACAGG